AAAAGCUGUUUUGAGGACAUAUCUAAGACUUAACUCGACGAGUUAAGAACGAUGGUGCAACCAGAAUUUGUUGCUUGAACUUACUUUUGAAGAUAUAGGUUUCUAAAGUUUACGGUUUUACGUUCAUACGAAUGCGUGGAAUAUUGCUUUAUAAUGUCACGUGGAGGACCUCAAGUUUGGCAUUAUAAUUUAUUUAUGUUACUUUAAAAUACUGUUGUAGAUUAAACAUCAUUUCAACACGAAGAAGUGUUUAAUAUAAUGAUUUGGUAUUUUUAUAGCAUGAAAAAAAUGGUAAAGUUUUCAAAAUUAUUUUACAAAAUUACAAAAAAAAAAAAAAACGAAAUAUUAUUAAUUAUAUUUCUACUUUAUUGGGCACCCUAAAAAAGCCAAUGGCUAUAUAAGCCAUUAUUAGAAGUUAAACGUUUUUUGUAAUUUUUGCACUUUUUUUUAUCUCUGAGGCUAACCCAAGGUAUUUUACACGAGUACACGACAUGUCGAGGGAUAUUUUCGUUUUUUUUUUAUCCGAGAGCAGCACAGCAAGUGAGUUACAACAUGGGAAUCACUGCUCUAUAAUUUUAAUUUUCGCAUAAAAAAUAAUGUAGUCCCACAAAAAAAAAUUGACGAGUUUUAUUCUGUUAUUAUUCUUAAUUAUUUUUGAUAAAUUCUAAUUGCACCAUAGUUUUAAAUAGGUUAAAAUACCUAAUAAGUAUAGAAAAUUAUGAAAAGCAUGGGAAAUUACAGAGUAUACCUACGUAUAUUGGUUAUGCAUAAAAAACGCAAACGCAAAAUUUCUAAUUUCCAAACGCCAUAACUCCGAAACUAAGUCCAAGCAAAAAAUUCUGAUUGCACUAUCGUUCCUAACUCAUCAAGUUACAUAAGUUUCGAUAAAAAAAUCAAAUUGGCCAGGGGGAACUAAACUGCAUUUGUUCCACUAAUUGUUGUUUCACUAUCACUAACCUGAGCAUCCGUUUGCUUCACAUAAAUAUCUUUAAUGUUAUUAUUAUUACUGUAUUACUGCAACCAGUCACUGGAGUACUGCUACUAUACUACAAGAAGUAGAAAAACUUUACUUAAAAUUGUGUGUUUGAUCUCAAAUAAUUUGCAGAUUAUCACUUCUUAAUUAAGCAUUUUUUUUUUAUAUUGGUUAAGUGGGGACAACUGUUUUUUACUCAUGAUCAAAAAGAAUUAAGGAUAGAAAAAUAACAAAUAAAUUAUAUAAUAAGAUCGUACAGACGUGAGCAAUGCGACUGAAUCGACAUUCGAUAAAACCAACGGUAACAAUUUCUUUGAAAUUCGAAGCCUUAAAUAUUCUCGAAUCCCGAUAAACGGCGAUAAGAAAUUAUAAAAUAUAAAUAUCCUUUUGGCUGUUGGGGUACCCGUGUUGUUGGAUCUACCUCGACAUUUUUCGUGAGCACGGCAUACCAUUAUAAUUGUGUAAGAAUACUGAUAAGGAGAUGAUAAGAAUAAAAUAUUUAAAUUUUAAAUUUAGUGCUGUGUUACCUAACCACGGUAACCAGAUUUAACCAAUGUGAAACGUUUUGAAGACCGUUCGUAGCGAACGUUUAUCCUUGAAAAAUUUUCCACUGUAGGCACGUGCCUACCUACGUAAUGUCUGCAUUUAAAUACGCCACUGUGUAAAUAAUCGAGUAUACAGGCAUAAGUACUCCUAUUUGACAACUUUUAAUCACAUUUUGACAUGCCAUUUGUGAAAAAACUAUACUAUAGUCCAGUGGUUUCCAACCUCUUCUAUUCUACGCCCCUCUUUGUAGAUUUUCAAAAAUCUCGCGCCCCUCUUAUAAAUUGAAAAAAAUUGAUCACCUCUUUUGGUGUACUUUACAAAUAAACUAUAAAAUAUUCGGAAUGACAACUUCUUUAUUGAUGAUAAUAAUUAUGAAAUAUAUAUAAUAGUAAAUAAUAAAAUGUAACAAUCAAUUAAGGUGAAAUAUUAUAGUAAUAAAUUAGUAUAAAAUAUUAAUAAUAGUAAUAAUUAAAUAAAAACUGUAUUUUGUAAUAACUGCUUGCGCCUCCCCAACAACGUGUACACGCCCCCCAGUUUGGUAAUCAGUCUAUACUCUACAAUUACUAAUAAAUAAUAAGUAACAGGGAAUAUCCGAAUGCCUAUAAUGAUUUGAUCAAAAUCGAUCCCAAUUUACAAAUUAUAAAUUUCUGAAUUCCGUAUACUUCCAUGAAUACUUUUCCAAAUAAAAUUAAUACAUUUACAAGUAUGAAAAUUGUUUCUGUAAAUAUUAACGUAGCUUCGAUAAUAAUCUAAGGAAAAUAAAUUGGUAUAAUAAUUGAAUUUUAUAGGGAGUUUUGACGAAGAAAACAUAAAUAUUAUAAUUUAAUUUACUAGAAAAUCAAAAUA